CCAGAGAUGGAUUGGUGCCUUCGGGAACUGUGAGACAGGUGCUGCAUGGCUGUCGUCAGCUCGUGUUGUGAAAUGUUGGGUUAAGUCCCGCAACGAGCGCAACCCUUAUCCUUUGUUGCCAGCGGUUCGGCCGGGAACUCAAAGGAGACUGCCAGUGAUAAACUGGAGGAAGGUGGGGAUGACGUCAAGUCAUCAUGGCCCUUACGACCAGGGCUACACACGUGCUACAAUGGCAUAUACAAAGAGAAGCGACCU
rnacentral:rRNA from 1 species